rnacentral:rRNA from 1 species
AUCGAACGCUGGCGGCAGGCCUAAUACAUGCAAGUCGAACGAGUGGCGGACGGGCGAGUAAUGUCUGGGAAACUGCCUGACGGAGGGGGACAACUACUGGAAACGGUAGCUAAUACCGCAUACCAUCGGUUGUGCUCAGAUGGGAUUAGCUAGUCGGUGGGGUAUAGGCUCACGUAGGCGACGAUCCCUAGCUGGUCUGAGCGGAUGACCAGCCACACUGGAACUGAGACACGGUCCGGACUCCUACGGUAGGCAGCAGUGGGGAAUAGUGCGCAAUGGGCGCAAGCCUGAUGCAGCCAUGCCGCGUGUGUGAAGAAGGCCUUCGGGUUGUAAAGUACUUUCGGCGGGGAGGCGUUACCCGCAGAGGAAGCACCGGCUAACUCCGUGCCAGCAGCCGCGGUAAUUC